rnacentral:lncRNA from 1 species
UAACCUUAGGUCUAAUUCAAUUAAGAGGACCUGAUCAAGCUAAUCCAUAGACCCAUGUUUUAUAUGAAUGUCAUUAGAUCUUUAAUUCAUAAUUCUAGAUUCAAUUAAUUCAAUUUAAUUCUUAAUUAAGUAUAUGAUUUAAUGGGUUUGCUGUUUAGAUUUAAAACAAUUUUAAUUUUUAAUUUUUAUAAAUAAUUUACAAUUGAUUCAGGCAAAAAUUUUCUGUUCUGAAACU